GGAAAAGAAACCAACAGGGAUUGCCUCAGUAACGGCGAGUGAAGCGGCAAAAGCUCAAAUUUGAAAUCCCCCGGGAAUUGUAAUUUGAAGGACCUAUUAAAACCCUGAGAGAGCCCAAAGUCCAUUGGAAAAUGGCGCCAUAGAAGGUGAUAGCCCUGUGUGGACCUCUCUCAGCAUACUUUUUAGGCCCAAAGAGUCGAGUUGUUUGGGAAUGCAGCUCUAAGUGGGUGGUAAAUUCCAUCUAAAGCUAAAUAUUGGCGAGAGACCGAUAGCGAACAAGUACAGUGAUGGAAAGAUGAAAAGCACUUUGAAAAGAGAGUGAAAAAGUACGUGAAAUUGUUGAAAGGGAAGGGCUUGCAAGCAGACACAACCUCGGUUGGGCCAGCAUCGGGGCGGGGGGAAACAAAAAAGGUGUGGAAUGUGGCUCUUACGAGUGUUAUAGCCCCACCCAAUAUUUCCAUCCCAUCCCGAGGCCUGCGAUUCUUCAAGGAUGCUGGCGUAAUGGUUGCAAGUC
rnacentral:rRNA from 1 species